rnacentral:rRNA from 1 species
AGUGAACGCUGGCGGUAGGCCUAACACAUGCAAGUCGAACGGCAGCACAGUAAGAGCUUGCUCUUACGGGUGGCGAGUGGCGGACGGGUGAGGAAUACAUCGGAAUCUACUUUUUCGUGGGGGAUAACGUAGGGAAACUUACGCUAAUACCGCAUACGACCUACGGGUGAAAGCAGGGGAUCUUCGGACCUUGCGCGAUUGAAUGAGCCGAUGUCGGAUUAGCUAGUUGGCGGGGUAAAGGCCCACCAAGGCGACGAUCCGUAGCUGGUCUGAGAGGAUGAUCAGCCACACUGGAACUGAGACACGGUCCAGACUCCUACGGGAGGCAGCAGUGGGGAAUAUUGGACAAUGGGCGCAAGCCUGAUCCAGCCAUACCGCGUGGGUGAAGAAGGCCUUCGGGUUGUAAAGCCCUUUUGUUUGGAAAGAAAAGCAGCAGGUUAAUACCCCGCUGUUCUGACGGUACCCACAGAAUAAGCACCGGCUAACUUCGUG